rnacentral:misc_RNA from 1 species
GAUGAAGAACGUAGCGAAAUGCGAUAAGUAAUGCGAAUUGCAGAAUUCCAGUGAAUCAUCGAAUCUUUGAACGCACAUUGCGCCCGCCAGUAUUCUGGCGGGCAUGCCUGUUCGAGCGUCAUUUCAACCAUCAAGCCCCCGGCUUGUGUUGGGGACCUGCGGCUGCCGCAGGCCCUGAAAAGCAGUGGCGGGCUCGCUGUCACACCGAGCGUAGUAGCAUACAUCUCGCUCUGGGCGUGCUGCGGGUUCCGGCCGUUAAACCACCUUCAUAACCCAAGGUUGACCUCGGAUCAGGUAGGAAGACCCGCUGAACUUAAGCAUAUCAAUAAGCGGGGA